rnacentral:snRNA from 1 species
GUGCGGCAGCACAUGUACUAAAAUUGGAAUGAUAUAAAGAAGACUAGCAUGGUCCCUNCGCAAGGAUGAUGUGCACAUUUGUGAAGCGUUCCAUAAUAAA